GACACUACCAACAUCGAGGAUUUGCCUUCGGACCCCGAAGAUGUCUUCGACGAGUAUGAUGCUCACACGAGAAUGGGUAGGCAGCCCGAGAGAGGAGCCUUUGAAGAUUACAUUGGUCAUCAAAUUGGUCGUUUUGCUAAUGAGGCGGGACAAGCGUUGAGCGUGCCAAUAGGCUCUCCGGAUGAGGCCACCGUGCUUAGGACAUUUUUGCAGAGGUUUAGACGGGGAUGCCGGAAAAUGGCCUUCAAACUAAACUGCUUAUCAGCACAAGGACAAGGACCGGCGGAUCAUGAAAAACCUUCCGGAUCGCGCCAACAUGGUGGAAGGAGCAUGAGUUUAACACCAGAUUUGGGCACAUCAUCUACAUGUUCCGUUCCGU